UCGCGAGUCCGUAGCCAUCUCGCUUCCCCCCGGCGUUCAGGGUUCGGCCCCUUCGCUCGGUCUUCUGCGCUUGUUUCUCCUAGAACCACCGGUGCAGGCGCGUGUCUCCUCCCCGCUCCAAAACUCGGUGCGCCCCGCGUCCGUUCAUUCAUUCAUCUAGACCGCAAGUGUUUCCCGAACACAGGAUGUGGAGGUGCCCCUAGGCUGAGCCCUGGGGACCCAGCGGCCAGCCGAUCACUGUUUGAAUCUGUCGCACUAGACUCGCUUUCCCCACGCUCCCUCCCCGGGGAGGAGGGCUUCCUACCACCACGGCAGGCGAGCGCUCUUCCUUCUCUUUGGAAAGUCACUGCAGCUGUUGCACACCGCCCUGCCCACACACCCCGGUUCCCGCCGAGAGGAGUCCCCCCUCUCAUUCAUCUUCGUUCUUCUCUCUCUUAUGCGCACACGUCCGUCUGUGCACAGCUCGUCUCCCUUCAGAGCUGUGUUUGAGAUGGCUCUUUGGCCGGAGAUGUUCACGAUGCUCCGUGUAGAAUAUCCUUUACAGUUUUGAUGCAUUACGACUGUUCAUUAAGAUCCCAGAACGAACAACUAUAAACCUACUUUGCCUCACCCUGUAUUGAUAAUAUAUACCAGCUGUGAGUCAGAUAUAACCUUAGCAGGGUUGGGGUUAUUGUUUCCAGACAGCACACGUGGAAUGAACAUAACAAAUGUUUAAAGAAUUUGGUCAUUAAAAUGUUUUACUCUUGCA